rnacentral:rRNA from 1 species
GACCUCGGAUCAGGUAGGGAUACCCGCUGAACUUAAGCAUAUCAAUAAGCGGAGGAAAAGAAACCAACAGGGAUUGCCUCAGUAACGGCGAGUGAAGCGGCAACAGCUCAAAUUUGAAAUCUGGCUUCUAGCCCGAGUUGUAAUUUGGAGAAGAUGCUUCGAGCAUGGUCUGGUCUAAGUUCCUUGGAACAGGACGUCAUAGAGGGUGAGAAUCCCGUAUGCGACUAGGUGCCUAAGCUCAUGUGAAGCUCCUUCGACGAGUCGAGUUGUUUGGGAAUGCAGCUCAAAAUGGGUGGUAAAUUUCAUCUAAAGCUAAAUACUAGCCAGAGACCGAUAGCGCACAAGUAGAGUGAUCGAAAGAUGAAAAGCACUUUGGAAAGAGAGUUAAAUAGUACGUGAAAUUGUUGAAAGGGAAGCGCUUGCAACUAG